CCCUCAAUUCCUGAUUGUGGAGGAGUUUUGUCUGGUUUUGUGCAUAUUUAUGAGCACGAGAUCUCGAAAUUCCAUAAACAGGCUAGCCCCAUUUUUUUUCUCAAUUCUCUUUCUUUCAUGCAUUCCCCUUAUAUAUAUGUGUUUUUUUUUGUGUUGUCUGUGUGUGUGAGAGAGUGGAGUUCAGCUCGUUGGAUUUAAAAGGUAAUUAACCCCCACCCCCCUCACACACGUACACAGGGAAACAAGGAGAAAAAAAAGAUUUUUACGUUGUGAUUGGUGUUUUGAUAGAUGGGUGGG
rnacentral:lncRNA from 1 species